AGAGUUUGAUCAUGGCUCAGAUUAAACGCUGGCGGCAUGCCUUACACAUGCAAGUCGAACGGCAGCACGGGGGCAACCCUGGUGGCGAGUGGCGAACGGGUGAGUAAAGCAUCGGAACGUGCCCUGGAGUGGGGGAUAACGUAGCGAAAGUUACGCUAAUACCGCAUAUUCUGUGAGCAGGAAAGCAGGGGAUCGCAAGACCUUGCGCUCUGGGAGCGGCCGAUGUCGGAUUAGCUAGUUGGUGGGGUAAAGGCCUACCAAGGCGACGAUCCGUAGCGGGUCUGAGAGGAUGAUCCGCCACACUGGGACUGAGACACGGCCCAGACUCCUACGGGAGGCAGCAGUGGGGAAUUUUGGACAAUGGGCGAAAGCCUGAUCCAGCCAUGCCGCGUGAGUGAAGAAGGCCUUCGGGUUGUAAAGCUCUUUCGGUGGGGAAGAAAUUGCAUGGGUUAAUACCCUGUGUAGAUGACGGUACCUGGAGAAGAAGCACCGGCUAACUACAUG
rnacentral:rRNA from 1 species